UAAAAAAACAUGUCAUUUGACUAUAGCAAUAAGAUCAAUUUCAGAGAAUCAAGCUCAGUCAAAUAUCCAACUAGAAACAUUUCUGCCCAAACUGAAAUAGGAGCUGUUUUAUCUGGCAUCAGUUAGAGAUCCAGAAGGAAAAGGAGGUCACUGCAGCAGCUAAAACAAAACAGAAACAAAACCCUGACAUACAUGAUAAGUAAUCCUAAACUCCAGCAGCCGAACAAGGAGGCACAAGGAGAUUUCAAACCCACAAUUCUAUAGAUCAAAGUCUGUGGGAGCUAUGUGAACUCUGAUACAUGUCCUCAAGUGAUAUCACUUGAGUCACCUUAAGUCCUUGAGUCAGUAACAUGACACCUUAAUGUCCGACCAAGGAGGUGCUUGGUUUGUAAUACAGGCACCAGGUUUUAACAAGAAACAAGAAUGUGUGGAACAUGUGAUCAUUCAGUUACUAAUACAGUAUUAUCAAAUGCUGAAAUGGCAUUGCCCUCAGUCACAUGAUCUGAGACUACAUCACAAAUAUCAAGCAUAUUUGAUCUGAGGGUUUCUCUCCAGAGUCAGCUGCAUCACUCAGAUCAGCAGGUUGUCUUACUCUCUUACAGUGGGUGUGUAUUCUGGCAACAGACACAGGAGACCUCAGAGGGAAACCCCUGUACAGGGUCCAACCCUUCCUGUCCAAGGUGAACUGCACCAGUCUGGCUUGGUGGUGGCAUCUGAUGCCAUAAGGGCCAAGAUGCACCAUAGGUCCAAGUAAAUCUGUUAGGUCAAUCUCAGCAGUGCCGGCAAUCACUAGCUCCAGCUCCCUGGCAUCAAACACCGACACCAACCUGGCAUCCACCACCUGGGGAUGUUGGCUCCACCAGGCUUCAGCUCUCGUUCUGUUAUCUGAGGGAAAACAUACACACAAGAACUGGGACUGGUGAAACUCCUCAUCCAGAUACUCCAGGUCGCUCAGGUCACAUGGACUACAUGGUGGAAAAUACUCACCCCUCCUCCCCAACAAAGCUGACGUAGAGCUUGCUUCGCUGCAGGUCUUUCCGGGAAUAGCACAUGAUCUGGUUGAAGGCGUCUUCCAGCAGGUGGUCACGACGGAUGAUCAACCUGAUACAAACACACACGCAGGUGGACAGAGAAGCAUACACACAGGUUAAAUCCUAAUGCACCCUGAUACACCCACACGUACUGGGUGGCAGCGGCUCAUCCACUCUCUGGUAACGGCUGAUGUCAUGGCGGAUGGAUGGCAGGGAGCGAACAGACUGGUGGCCAUUCACGUGAGCAGUGGC